rnacentral:snRNA from 1 species
GUACUUACCCCGCAGCGGAGACACCGUGACCUGGAAGCUGGUUUUCCCAGGGCGGGCUUAUCCAUUGCUCUCCCAUUGACUACCCUGGAUGUGGGAAACUCGACUGCAGAAUUUUUGGUGGUGGGGGACUGCAUUCACGCUCUCCCCUA